AUUGAACGCUGGCGGAAUGCUUUACACAUGCAAGUCGAACGGCAGCACGGGGCAACCUGGUGGCGAGUGGCGAACGGGUGAGUAAUACAUCGGAACGUGCCCAAUCGUGGGGGAUAACGUAGCGAAAGUUACGCUAAUACCGCAUACGAUCUACGGAUGAAAGCGGGGGAUCGCAAGACCUCGCGCGAAUGGAGCGGCCGAUGUCAGAUUAGGUAGUUGGUGGGGUAAAGGCUCACCAAGCCAACGAUCUGUAGCUGGUCUGAGAGGACGACCAGCCACACUGGAACUGAGACACGGUCCAGACUCCUACGGGAGGCAGCAGUGGGGAAUUUUGGACAAUGGGCGCAAGCCUGAUCCAGCCAUUCCGCGUGCAGGAUGAAGGCCUUCGGGUUGUAAACUGCUUUUGUACGGAACGAAACGGUCUGCCCUAAUACGGUGGGCUAAUGACGGUACCGUAAGAAUAAGCACCGGCUAACUACGUGCCAGCAGCCGCGGUAAGC
rnacentral:rRNA from 1 species